UAUAUAGUAAAAUUUAAUUUAGUAUUAGAAGUACUCCCUAUUAAUUUAGGACUAAUCUACUAAUAAACGCUAUUUGUUAGUUUUAAAAAGUUAAAACUGUAACUAAAAAAGAGUUCAUAUCUGUAUUAGCUAAUUAAUAAGAUAAUAACUUAUUAAGGACGAAGAUCAGUAGCUCGCCCUGAGAGGGGGACCAGCCACAUUGGGAUUGAAAUACAGCCCAAACUCCUACGGGAGGCUGCAGUGAGGAAUCUUCUGCAAUGAGCGCAAGCUUGACAGAGCAUCGUCACGUGAAGGAAGACAGCUAAUUAUUAUAGUUGUAAACUUCUUUUACUUAAAAAUGAAUACUGACAUUUAAGUAAAUAAAGUAUCGGCAAACUCCGUGCCAGCAGCCGCGGUAA
rnacentral:rRNA from 1 species